rnacentral:rRNA from 1 species
UACGGAGGGUGCAAGCGUUAUCCGGAUUCACUGGGUUUAAAGGGUGCGUAGGUGGGUCUGUAAGUCAGUGGUGAAAUCUCCGGGCUUAACCCGGAAACUGCCAUUGAUACUAUAGGUCUUGAAUUUUCUGGAGGUUAGCGGAAUAUGUCAUGUAGCGGUGAAAUGCUUAGAUAUGACAUAGAACACCGAUUGCGAAGGCAGCUGACUACAGGAACAUUGACACUGAGGCACGAAAGCGUGGGGAUCAAACAGG